ensembl:misc_RNA Y_RNA Y RNA
GGCUGGUCCAAUGGCAGUGGGUUAUCAGAACUUAUUAACAUUAGUGUUACUAAAGUUGGUAUACCACCCCCGCACUGCUAAAUCUGACUGGCUUUAA